rnacentral:misc_RNA from 1 species
UUUCCGUAGGUGAACCUGCGGAAGGAUCAUUACAGUAGUCACCCAGGUUGCCGCAAGGCCUCCUGGGUAACCUACCACCCUUUGUUUAUUACACUUUGUUGCUUUGGCAAGCCUGCCCUCGGGCUGCUGGCUCCGGCCGGCGAGCGCUUGCCAGAGGACCUAAACUCUGUUUGUCUAUACUGUCUGAGUACUAUAUAAUAGUUAAAACUUUCAACAACGGAUCUCUCGGUUCUG